rnacentral:lncRNA from 1 species
UUCAGAUCAAAAGCCAAAUCUUUGGUGUUUGUGAGGAAAAAAAAUGCCCAGCAGCCGUCCUGCAGCACAUCAGUGCUUUGUCUGACUGCGGUGUGAAGGUGUUGCUCGGGACCAGGGACACUUGGACUGGUUGAGGAGCAGCACCUUGAAGGAACAUCCAGACACAGCCUUCCUGCUUCCUGACCUCAGCACAGGGAUGCUGAUCUCUGCAAUGCCCUGUCCUUGUCCCCAGGCUCCUCCAGCCCCUUCUUCCAGCCCAGCCCCUCUCACUUGCAGCUCAGCAGUGGUGAGUUAAAAGAAAACUGUGGCAAAUUAAUCUGAAAAGGGAGAGCAGCCUUUGCAGUAGCUGAGGAAUACCUCUCUUAUCUGCACUGUCUGAGGCUGCAGAGCCACUGGGAAUUCAGAUUGGUCUUCACGUCUGAUGCGCUGCUGGGAAAUGCAUUCUGGAUGUUGAGUUUAAACAUGUCUCCAGAGGCAGCACUUGGCUGGCUGGGUGCCUGCUGCACUGCUUCCCAGCUACAUCACUUGGGUCUGGAUUUAAUACCGAGUACAUUCUACUGGUUCCUUUUUAUAGCAGCUGGCAAUAAACACAUCAUGUUACGGCUUUAUUUUGGCUACAGAUUAAUUGUAGAGAAUGUAAUUGCUUCCCCAUUUGAAGCCAGGGGGAAGCCCACAGAGUAGGUCAUCAGCUUCUUGGAGCAUCACCUGGGAGAUGGUCUUUAACAUUUGUUUGUUUUUCUAUAAGUAGGUGAGGAUUAAAAAUCAAAAGCAUCCUGCAACAACUACUCCUCUACCUAGGAAAGCACCAAGUCACUCCUGGUUCUACCGCUGUGAUGAGCAAAGGAAACCUUGAGGGAUAGGUUCGGACUUGUUACACUUAGCACUGCUCCCUUCCUCUUUUAGCUAGUAGGCAAUUAUCAGAUCCGAUCAACAGAAACAGACCUUUCCCAGAGCACAGCUCUUGUGCAGUGUUCUGCAGGUUUGGCCAACUGCACGCCUUCGGUGCUUCAGAUCCAU